rnacentral:rRNA from 1 species
AUUGAACGCUGGCGGCAGGCUUAACACAUGCAAGUCGAGCGGUAACAGAGAGAAGCUUGCUUCUCUGCUGACGAGCGGCGGACGGGUGAGUAAUGCCUAGGAAUCUGCCUAGUAGUGGGGGAUAACGUGCCGAAAGGUAAGCUAAUAUCGCAUACGUCCUACGGGAGAAAGGAGGGGGACCUGCGGGCCUUUCGCUAGUAGAUGAGCCUAGGUCGGAUUAGUUAGUGGGUGAGGUAAUGGCUCACCAAGACCGCGAUCCGUAACUGGUCUGAGAGGAAGAUCAGUCACACUGGAACUGAGACACGGUCCAGACUCCUACGGGAGGCAGCAGUGGGGAAUAUUGGACAAUGGGGGGAACCCUGAUCCAGCCAUGCCGCGUGUGUGGAGAAGGUCUUAGGAUUGUAAAGCACUUUAAGUUGGGAGGAAGAGCAGUUAACUAAUAUUUGACUGUUUUGACGUUACCGACAGAAUAAGCACCGGCUAACUUCGUGCCAGCCGCCGCAGUAA